rnacentral:rRNA from 1 species
UACGUAGGGUGCGAGCGUUGUCCGGAAUUAUUGGGCGUAAAGAGCUUGUAGGCGGUUUGUCGCGUCUGCUGUGAAAAUCCGGGGCUCAACCCCGGACUUGCAGUGGGUACGGGCAGACUAGAGUGUGGUAGGGGAGACUGGAAUUCCUGGUGUAGCGGUGAAAUGCGCAGAUAUCAGGAGGAACACCGAUAGCGAAGGCAGCUCGCUGGGACGUUACUGACACUGAGGCGCGAAAGCGUGGGGAGCGAACAGG